rnacentral:rRNA from 1 species
GAUGAACGCUAGCGGGAGGCCUAACACAUGCAAGCCGAGCGGUAUUUAUUCUUCGGAAUAGAGAGAGCGGCGUACGGGUGCGGAACACGUGUGCAACCUGCCUUUAUCAGGGGGAUAGCCUUUCGAAAGGAAGAUUAAUACCCCAUAAUAUAUUGAUUGGCAUCAAUUGAUAUUGAAAACUCCGGUGGAUAAAGAUGGGCACGCGCAAGAUUAGAUAGUUGGUGAGGUAACGGCUCACCAAGUCGAUGAUCUUUAGGGGGCCUGAGAGGGUGAUCCCCCAAACUGGUAAGGAGACACGGACCAUACUCCGACGGAGGGCAGCAGUGAGGAAUAUUGGACAAUGGGUGAGAGCCUGAUCCAGCCAUCCCGCGUGAAGGACGACGGUUCUAUGGAUUGUAAACUUCUUUUAUAUAGGGAUAAACCUACUUACGUGUAAGUAGCUGAAGGUACUAUAUGAAUAAGCACCGGCUAACUCCGUGCCAGCCGCCGCGGUAA